UACAGAGGUCUCGAGCGUUGUUCGGAUUCAUUGGGCGUAAAGGGCGCGUAGGCGGCGGGGUACGUCUGGUGUGAAAUCUCGGAGCUCAACUCCGAAAUUGCACUGGAUACUGCUCUGCUAGAGGGCUGGAGAGGAGAUCGGAAUUCACGGUGUAGCAGUGAAAUGCGUAGAUAUCGUGAGGAAGACCAGUGGCGAAGGCGGAUCUCUGGACAGCUCCUGACGCUGAGGCGCGAAGGCUAGGGGAGCAAACGGG
rnacentral:rRNA from 1 species